UACGUAGGGUGCGAGCGUUAAUCGGAAUUACUGGGCGUAAAGCGUGCGCAGGCGGCUUUGCAAGACAGUUGUGAAAUCCCCGGGCUCAACCUGGGAACUGCAUUUGUGACUGCAUCGCUGGAGUACGGCAGAGGGGGAUGGAAUUCCGCGUGUAGCAGUGAAAUGCGUAGAUAUGCGGAGGAACACCGAUGGCGAAGGCAAUCCCCUGGGCCUGUACUGACGCUCAUGCACGAAAGCGUGGGGAGCAAACAGG
rnacentral:rRNA from 1 species